rnacentral:rRNA from 1 species
GACGAACGCUGGCGGCGUGCUUAACACAUGCAAGUCGAACGGAAAGGCCCUGCUUUUGUGGGGUGCUCGUGUGGCGAGCGGGUGAGCAUCACGUGAGUAACCUGCCCCUGACUGUGGGAUAUCUUCAGGAAACUGGGGCUCUUACCGCAUAGGAGAUAUUGCUGCAUGGUGGGGGUUGGUAAGUUUAGGUGUUUGGGGAUGGAAUCGCGGAUUAUCAGUUUGUUGGCGGGGUUGUGGCUUACCAAGGCUUUGACGGGUAGCCGGCCUGAGAGGGUGAGCGGCCACAUUAGUACUGAGAUAAGACCCAGACUGCUACGGGAGGCAGCAGGGGGGAGUAUUGCACAGUAAGCGGAGGGCGGAUGCAGCAGCGCCGCGUGGGGGAAGUCGGGCGUCGAGUGGUGAAGCACUGUCGCCUGAGACGAAGCGAUAGUGACGGUACCGGGUAAAUAAGCACCGGCUAACUACGUG